GGGGAUUAAUUUUUUCCUUUUGCUAAGAGCAACUUCCAUUACCAAGGUAAGAUGAACACAAUAAUUCUAGCCCUUGAAGGUUUGAUUCUGGUAACUUCCUUAUUCCGAGCAGUGGAUGGUUUUUCACCCUACAUGACAAAGCCGAAGGGUGAUGUAAGUGGCCUGGAUGGUCGUCAUAUAAAGGUUCUACAACGCUAUCCCUGCAGAUAUUACCGGAUUGAAAAAGAGGCUCAUAAAAGAGAGGCUGACCUCACUGAUCCUGAAACUAUCCUGCAGAAUGGAGACGACAGCCGAGUGCGCACGCGUAGGAAGUGAAGUUCUAUCUCCUAUUUGACACUCUGAUGCAAGAUGAUACAUACCAUUAUGAUCUAAUAACAAAGGCUUUAAAAUCUCAGUUAUGCAGUCUAUAUACGCUAACUUAUAAAAUGUGAUUAACGUCCUGAAAGAAAGGCAAAUGUUUGCUUACAGUCGAAUAACAAAUAUUUGCUAGAUUAUUGGAGAAAUAAAGUUGGAACUAUUAAAUUCA